AUUGACCGCUGGCGGCAGGCCUAACACAUGCAAGUCGAGCGGAGCGGCGGACGGGUGCGUAAUGCCUAGGAAUCUGCCUGGUCGUGGGGGAUAACGUCCGGAAACGGGCGCUAAUACCGCAUACUAUCAGAUGAGCCUAGGUCGGAUUAGCUAGUUGGGGGGGUAAGGGCCUACCCAGGCGACGAUCCGUACCUGGUCUGAGAGGAUGAUCAGUCACACUUGAACUGAUACACGGUCCAGACUCCUACGGGAGGCAGCAGUGGGGAAUAUUUGACAAUGGGCGAAAGCCUGAUCCAGCCAGGCCGCGUGUGUGAAGAAGGUCUUCGGAUUGUAAAGCACUUUAAGUUGGGAGGCGUUACCAACAGAAUAAGCACCGGCUAACUUCGUGCCAGCAGCCGCGGUAAUUC
rnacentral:rRNA from 1 species